GGCACUGAGAAUGAAGAGAGAUUUAAAUAGAGAACUUAAAGACCAAUGUGACCUACUUCACAUUUUUAGUUGGGGUUUGCCCUGAAUUCAUUCUGACUACCUUUCAGUCAUUGAGCAGUUCUCGGAAAUACUGAGGGUAGAGGAAACAAACCGUGAAAUUUGGCUAGAAACACAGGGUUGUGAAAAGGGAGUAGUAGCCAGAAAAAUAAUUUGGUAUCUUAACAGAAGGCUCUGAAUGGCCAGUCAAGUUAUUUGGACCUUAUUCAUUUAUUCAUUCAGUGAAUAUUUAUUAAGCAUUCAUUCUGUGUCAGGAGCUAUUUGGAGGAAUGAAAACUCAGCAUUAAACAAGACAAGGGUAGAGAGAAAAAAAUCAACAAGGAAACCAACAAGAAAAUAUCAGGUGGUGAGUCUCACUCUGUCACCAGGCUCCAGGCUGGAGUGCAAUGGCACAAUCUUGGCUCACUACAACCUCUGCCUCCCAGGUUCAAGUAAUUCUUCUGCCUCAGCCUCCCGAGUAGUUGUGACUGCAGGUGUGUGACCACCACGCCCAGCUAAUUUUUGUAUUUUUAUUAGAGAUGGGGUUUCACCAUGUUGGCCAGGAUGGUCUUGAUAUCUUGACCUUGUGAUCCAUCCGCCUCGGCCUCCCAAAGUGCUGGGAUUACAGGCUUGAGCCACUGUGCCCAGCCAGGAGUUUGUUUUUUUUUUUCACUCUGAAUGUAUCUGAUUUUUUUGUCCCUUAUUCUUUUUAUUGAAG
rnacentral:lncRNA from 13 species